rnacentral:lncRNA from 1 species
GGCGGGGGGACCCCAAAUGACCCAAUAUUGGGGUUUUUCACCCCAAAAUGGGGCUAAAAUGGGGUUUUUCACCCCAAAAAUGGGCCCUAAAAAGGGGUUUUAACCCCAAAAAUGGGGCUGAUAAGGGGUUCUAAGGGGGGGGGGUCAGAAAUGAGCCAAUAUUGGGGUUUUUCACCCCAAAAAUGGGCCCUAAAAGUGAAGGAGCCGCCCCAAAAAUGGCCAUAUAUGGGUAUUUGGGGUCAAAAUGUCCCAAAUUUGGGUGUUUUCAACCCAAAAUGUGGUUGGAAAUGGGAUUGUAGGGGAUUUGUAGGGGGGUUUUGUAUGGGAUUCAAUGGGAUUCAAUGGGAUCCAAUGGGAUUCAAUGGGAUUUAUAUGGGAUUUAUAUGGGAUUCAAUGGGAUUUAUAUGGGAUUCAAUGGGAUUCAAUGGGGCUGAGUGGGAUUUAUAUGGGAUUUUAAUGGGAUUCAAUGGGAUUCAAUGGGAUUCGAUGGGAUUUUAA